AAGAUUAUGAAUGUCUGGUCAAAAACUCUGUUCUUUAAAAACUCCAAUGUAUAUACAUUGUAAUUGAUUUUCCUGUAGCAAUUCUCCUAUUGUGCAUACAUUGUGUUACAAUAAAUCAGUAAAAACAACAUCAAUCACCGUGGACUUAAUAUCUGUGGUUGAAAACAAUUUUGAAAGGUUACUAAGGGAUAAUAUGCUAGAAUUUAUUGUGAAC